rnacentral:rRNA from 1 species
CAGUCGAGCGGACAGAAGGGAGCUUGCUCCCGGAUGUUAGCGGCGGACGGGUGAGUAACACGUGGGUAACCUGCCUGUAAGACUGGGAUAACUCCGGGAAACCGGAGCUAAUACCGGAUAGUUCCUUGAACCGCAUGGUUCAAGGAUGAAAGACGGUUUCGGCUGUCACUUACAGAUGGACCCGCGGCGCAUUAGCUAGUUGGUGAGGUAACGGCUCACCAAGGCGACGAUGCGUAGCCGACCUGAGAGGGUGAUCGGCCACACUGGGACUGAGACACGGCCCAGACUCCUACGGGAGGCAGCAGUAGGGAAUCUUCCGCAAUGGACGAAAGUCUGACGGAGCAACGCCGCGUGAGUGAUGAAGGUUUUCGGAUCGUAAAGCUCUGUUGUUAGGGAAGAACAAGUGCAAGAGUAACUGCUUGCACCUUGACGGUACCUAACCAGAAAGCCACGGCUAACUACGUGCCAGCAGCCGCGGUAAUACGUAGGUGGCAAGCGUUGUCCGGAAUUAUUGGGCGUAAAGGGCUCGCAGGCGGUUUCUUAAGUCUGAUGUGAAAGCCCCCGGCUCAACCGGGGAGGGUCAUUGGAAACUGGGAAACUUGAGUGCAGAAGAGGAGAGUGGAAUUCCACGUGUAGCGGUGAAAUGCGUAGAGAUGUGGAGGAACACCAGUGGCGAAGGCGACUCUCUGGUCUGUAACUGA